AAAAACGACAGUGUCACCCCUCAUGUUUCAUUUGAUGAAAACGACAGUGUUACCCCCUAUGUUUUAUUCGAUACAUUUCGACAGUGUUACCCCCUAUGUUUUUUUCCCAUGAUGACUGAUGAAAAACAACAGUGUUACCCCUUAUGUUUUAUUUGACAGGGAAUUUUUUUUAUAUAACUCCUCCCCCGUCACAGGUAGGGAUAAAAAAGAGGUUAUAACUCCUCCCCCGUCACAGGUAGAGAUAGAGGGAGAUAUUAUAACUCCUCCCCCGUCCGAGGUGGGGAUACAAAGAGAUUAUAACUCCUCCCCCGUCACAGGUAGAGAUAGAGGGAGAUAUUAUAACUCCUCCCCCGUCAAAGGUGGGGAUACAAAGAGAUUAUAACUCCUCCCCCGUACAGGGAGAUAGAGGGAGAUAUUAUAACUCCUCCCCCGUCCGAGGUAGGGAUACAGAGAGAUUAUAACUCCUCCCCCGUCA
ensembl:lncRNA